UACAGAGGUGGCAAGCGUUGUUCGGAAUUACUGGGCGUAAAGGGCGCGUAGGCGGCCUUCUAAGUCAGACGUGAAAUCCCCCGGCUUAACCUGGGAACUGCGUCUGAUACUGGGAGGCUUGAGUAUGGGAGAGGGAUGUAGAAUUCCAGGUGUAGCGGUGAAAUGCGUAGAUAUCUGGAGGAAUACCGGUGGCGAAGGCGGCAUCCUGGACCAUAACUGACGCUGAGGCGGCGAAAAGCUGAGGGGAGACCAAAGCAGGGG
rnacentral:rRNA from 1 species